UACGUAGGGGGCAAGCGUUGUCCGGAUUUAUUGGGCGUAAAGAGCGUGUAGGCGGUUUUACAGGUCCGCUGUGAAAACUCGAGGCUCAACCUCGAGCUGUCGGUGGAAACCGUAAGGCUAGAGUCCGGAAGAGGAGAGUGGAAUUCCCAGUGUAGUGGUGAAAUACGUAGAGAUUGGGAAGAACACCAGUGGCGAAGGCGGCUAUCUGGACGGUUUCUGACGCUAAGACGCGAAAGCGUGGGGAGCAAACAGG
rnacentral:rRNA from 1 species